UGACCUGCACCCCCUGGGCCAGAUGGCACUCCCGGCCACUACAAUGGGUUCUUCUCCCAUGGCAGGACCACGUGAUGACGGGCAAGAAGACACUUAUCAGCCUGCCACGACAAGUCCAGAGAUCAAUACAUUGGUGGCUUUCCCCAGCCAUGACCAAAGGCCAUUUACUGGAAGUUCCGCCCAGGAUCGUCCUGACAACAGACGCCAGUCUCACUGGCUGGGGGGCACACUGCCAACAACUAUUCACUCAAGGAGUAUGGACACCAGGGGAAGCACGUCACCCCAUCAAUUGGCUGGAACUAAGAGCAGUUCGACUGGCUCUUAUCCACUUCCAGAGCCUGAUUGCGAAUCAACAUGUCCUUAUAAGAACGGACAAUGUGACAGUCAAAGCCCACAUAAACCGUCAGGGGGGCACCAGAUCGCGAAAGCUGAUGGAGGAGUCAAACCGCCUGUUCAGAUGGGCAGAGUCGAAUAUCCUGUCCAUCUCAGCAGAGCACCUAAAAGGGGAGGAGAACAACCUGGCGGACUGGUUAAGCCGCAAGGCAUUGGAUCCAGGAGAAUGGGCACUACACCCAGAGAUCUUUGCCCAGAUAUCGGAUCGACUAGGAAAUCCAGCGGUGGACCUCUUCGCGUCCGACCACAACCAUCAACUGCAGCGCUACUUCACCAGAUACCAAUCGCACAGAGCAGAGGGAACGGACGCUCUACUCUCUCCCUGGCCAAGGGGUCUGAUGUACGCCUUCCCUCCGAUCCCCAUAAUCAUGAAGGUACUCAGGAAAGCAAUUCAAGAGCAGGCGGAUCUCAUCUUAGUCGUACCGCACUGGCCAAGACGGCCCUGGUUCUCCACAAUAGUCGAAUUGGCGGUCGAAAAGCCAUGGUUCCUGCCACAACGACACGACCUCCUGCAACAGGGUCCAGUCCUUCAUCCAGACCCCACCUGGUUGCAACUGAGCGCUUGGAGGUUGAACGCUCAGAGUUAGAGGAUCGUGGGUAUACAGACUCUGUAAUACACACCAUUUUGGCGUCCAGAAGGGCCUCCACUCAACGCAUCUACCAAGUCACCUGGUCAGCUUUCUUCAAAUGGGCGUUCCAGAACGGGGUAGAUCCCUUGCACGCAGGGGUUCCGGAAGUCUUGAGUUUUCUGCAAGAAGGGCUAAAAUUACACCUCCGUCCAUCCACAUUGCGCAGACAGGUCUCGGCCCUGUCCUCUGUUCUCAAUAUCACCUUGAAAAACAAACACGACCUACACCCUCACAUUACCAGAUUCCUUAGAGGAGCCACGAAUCUUGCUCCUCCUACGCUUCGGCGUUUUCCAACUUGGGACCUCAACAAGGUGCUUAAUGCUCUUACCAAGCCACCCUUCGAGCCCCUCACAACGACUUCUCUUAAAAACCUCUCUUAUAAAGUCCUGUUUUUAGUAGCUAUCACCUCAGCUAGGAGGGUUUCCGAGUUAGGGGCACUAUCCUCCAGAAAGGAAUUCUGCACCUUUCAGGAUGACGCGGUCAUCCUGAGACUUGAUGAGACAUUUUUACCUAAGGUCAACUCAGUAUUUCAUAGGUCCCAGGUUAUCGUUCUCCCUUCCUUCUGCCCCUCUCCUAGCCAUAGGAGGGAGAAAUUAUGGCACAAAUUGGAUGCCCGCAGGGCAUUGCGUAUUUACCUUAAAAGAACCAAGGAAUUCCGGAGAACAGACGCCCUAUUUGUCUCCUUUCACCCCCACUCCAUGGGUAGAAAGGUCUCAAGUUCUACACUGGCUGGGUGGAUACGAGCUUGCAUAAAAAUGGCUUACUCAGCCUUACACCUGAGCCCACCGGGGGGUGUAACCGCUCAUUCCACGAGAAGCGCCGCUACUUCUGCGGCUUUCUCGGCACAUGUUCCCCUAACCGAGAUCUGUAGAGCGGCCACUUGGUCCUCUGUUUCACCAUUUAUCAAACACUACAAGAUAUCGGAAUAUAAUGAACGGGAGGCGGCCUUUGGCCGCACGGUAUUACAACAGGUGCUUUAGUCGCAUCCGUCCCACCCGGGACUAUAAUUUGAAGCUUGGGCAAGUCCCGUUCCUGAGGCUCUCCUACCACCGGGGAAAAAGUAACAUUGGUCUUACCGUGAAGGGUUCUUUUUCCUGGUGGUAGGAGAGCCUCAGCCCCGCCCGGAUGCUCUUACUUAUCCGACUGUGGGUGGUUAAAGAAGGGGGGUGUCGGGCGACUCUCAGGGUAACCAGACUCAUACUCCAACCUUCUGCUGUGUUUUUGUCUUUUAUUAAUUUGUCAUGGUGUUGUCUAGUUCUCUAUUUGAACAGUUUACAGUUAUUUAGGCCUUCGGCUGCCGACGAGCUCUCUCUUUUUACAAGACUCAUAUCAUCUUCGCUCAACAUCUCUGGAACUGGGAGGCUGAUACGCCCACAAAGAGUCACAUGUCCAGUUCUGUCUCGAGCAUGCUCACUGCAUAACCCGUUCCUGAGGCUCUCCUACCACCAGGAAAAAGAACCCUUCACGCUGAUGUUAAUUCUUCAAAAGCAGUCAGCAAUGAUGCACCAUACGUUAUGAAAGUG